UUUAGAAUGUCAAAAUUGAUUUUGUAAUAGUCAGGACAGGAUAAACAGUCGCUAUAUUAAGACCAUGUACGUGUCCCUAGACCUAGUUCUUUCCCUACGUCUGUUUUUAUAAAUGCUGGUGAUAAAC
ensembl:snoRNA SNORA72 Small nucleolar RNA SNORA72